UGGUGGCUCAGGGAGGAGAUUUCAAUCCAACGACGGAGAGGGCGGGCGUGCUGCCCUGGGUGAUGACGAGCUCAUCAGCGCUGAGACCACAGAGCUGGAGCCUCGGCCAGGAGCGGUGGAGAUGCUGUGUAUGUCGACCAACGACAAAGGCAGCCUGAUGGUGGGCUCCCAGUUCUUCAUUCACGUCAAGAAGUACAGUUACACCCACGUCUUCGCCUACGUCAUAGAUGGUCUUGAUCUGGUCGAUAAGAUGACUCAGCUGGGAGACUCCACCAGCGUCUAUCGACCCACUAAGACGAUCACCAUAGCCAACUGUGGCCUUCUGGCUGCCUGAAGACCAGCGCCGACCACCACCACAGAUCGUCACCGUCUCGCCAAGUCAUCUACUGCCGCUGAGUUCCUUCCAACUUAGGUUUACUGAUGCCGAGUCCACCUCACACGGCUCACCAAGCCAGCCAUCAAUACCUUCUACCGGGGUUCUAAAGUGAUCGUAUUCUUCGCUUUGCCAUAAUCAUCACAAUGAUGCUAUCCCCCCCUCCCCCCCCAGUCCUUAUUAUUCUGCAUGUUCCCCGUUCCAACACAUCUUCAGUGAGCUCUUCACAGCCAUACGAUGAAGCAGACACGCCCCCAUGUCUUAUAGUAACACAUGUUUCUCAGACAUGUCCAUACAGUUCAUCACGAAUCUUGUUUACACAGUCACUCACCUUGUUCCAUGCUGUUCUUGCCCGUCUCCGCCACUGCAGCAAGACAGUGUAAUAAUGCUCAUGACUUCUGACUUCCAGCAGCGCACCAACAGUAUCCCCAUCGGCUGUCGUCUCUCCUCAAAGUAACAAGACAACGACACAGUUAAUGGAGUCUUCUCUGUUGUCUGAAGCUGAAUAACCACCACACAAGGUAUCUGCCGCAACUACUGCUUCCUUGAGGUCACUCCUGAGAACAGAAUACGUUACUGACUGUCUCACUACUGACGUUACUUAUGUUCCUUAAUAGGCAAUCAAGACAUCAGAAUCUGCUGUUGGCAUCACUGCUUCUUCGUGAAGGGCAAUCAAGAUAACAUUCCACUGUACCCUCGUCACUCUUCCUUCUUAAACUCAAUCAUGACGACUAACGAUGUGACUGACAUUACUGCUGCUUCCUGAAAGUCAGUCAAGACACUAGAAGAUGCUACUGACAUUACUGCUGCUUCCUGAAAGUCAAUCAAAACAGUGGAACGUGCUACUUGCUGUGUGUGGAACCAUGAAGACACUGAAAUUUAGUUCUUUCCACCACGCGCCGCUCCACAUGGUAGAGCCCUCAGGCGGGGCACAGUAGCCACGUAGCGCUCACACUCUGAGCUGAGGCAUUCUCUUAUGCAACUUGUAGGUAUUUUGUGUUGUAAAUAUUGUGUCAAAGCACGAAUUGUAUCGUUCAAUAAAAAUUUCUUCCGUAAAACAGAGUACCACUAGUAGAUCUCUAAAAGUUUAAAAUUAAUAAUUUCAUCUUUAUCUCUCGUACUGUAAGUUUGUGUGUAGUUUCUGUUGACAGUUCUCCCAGUUGAACACAGUAGGACUCCAGCUGGUGUCACUUUUUGAGUAAAGAAUCACCUCUCAAA